UUUUACUGUUGUCCCUCCUUGUUGAUUUUUUUCCCCUGCAGCCCUUUUAGUACCUUUAUUACUUUUGCGUUCUUCAGUUUCUUUUGCAGGAGCCUGCUCUAUGUAACGUCAUUCAGUAGCAUCAGAGAUGGACAAGCGGAGGCAAGGGAAGGAGGGGGGUGUGAAACUUGAGCUGGUGGAUGGGAGGGGGGAGUGAGAUUUGAGCUGGUGGAUGAGAGGAGGGAGCGAGAUUUGAAUGGUGGAUGGGAGGAGGGAACGAGACUUGCAAAUGCGAUGGUGGAUGGGAGGGGGAGCGAGCGGAGAGGAAUCCUGUGACGGGAGCGACACUAGGGAGGCAGCUGCACGAGAUGUGAGACAAGCCAAUACGUGGGAGGGACUGGAACAGGCGGAGCGUGUUUCGUGUGUGGGAAAUAGUGCUGCCUUUUGAAAAAUUGAAACCUACUGUGGCCAACAAAACACAUGGAACCCAAGAGACUUUGAUUGAAUCACAAUACACCAGCUUGGAUCUAUGAAUUGGACUUUGUAUGGUUUGAUGGACAUUCCACAAGGGGUUAAUAUUG